AGCGAACGCUGGCGGCAGGCUUAACACAUGCAAGUCGAGCGCCGUAGCAAUACGGAGCGGCAGACGGGUGAGUAACACGUGGGAACGUACCUUUUGGUUCGGAACAACACAGGGAAACUUGUGCUAAUACCGGAUAAGCCCUUACGGGGAAAGAUUUAUCGCCGAAAGAUCGGCCCGCGUCUGAUUAGCUAGUUGGUGAGGUAACGGCUCACCAAGGCGACGAUCAGUAGCUGGUCUGGGAGGAUGAUCAGCCACACUGGGACUGAGACACGGCCCAGACUCCUACGGGAGGCAGCAGUGGGGAAUAUUGGACAAUGGGCGCAAGCCUGAUCCAGCCAUGCCGCGUGAGUGAUGAAGGCCCUAGGGUUGUAAAGCUCUUUUGUGCGGGAAGAUAAUGACUGUACCGCAAGAAUAAGCCCCGGCUAACUUCGUGCCAGCCGCCGCCGUAA
rnacentral:rRNA from 1 species